UACGUAGGUGACGAGCGUUAUCCGGAAUUACUGGGCGUAAAGCGUACGCAGGCGGCAUUGUAAGUCUGACGUGAAAUCUCCUGGCUUAACUGGGAGAGGUCGUUGGAGACUGCAGUGCUUGAGACAAUGAGAGGGGUGCAGAAUUCCCGGUGUAGUGGUGGAAUGCGUAGAUAUCGGGAGGAAUACCAGAGGCGAAAGCGGCACCCUGGCAUUGGUCUGACGCUCAUGUACGAAAGCGUGGGUAGCAAACGGG
rnacentral:rRNA from 1 species